rfam:Desulfurococcus kamchatkensis 1221n, complete genome.
UGGGCACGGCGAGGACGCCGCCCGGUGGAUGGCUCGGCUCGGGCGCCGAGGAAGGCCGUGGCAAGCUGCGAUAAGCCCGGGGUAGGCGCAGGCAGCCGUUGAACCCGGGAUCGCCGAAUGGGACCUCCCGCCGCGGGCUCUAAGCCCGUGGCACCCGGGAAACCCGCGAGGGGAGUACCGGGUGGGAACCCCCCGAACGGAAACAUCUUAGUAGGGGGAGGAAAAGAAACCAAACGGGAUCCCCUGAGUAGGGGCGACCGAAAGGGGGAGAGCCCAGACCAAAUCCCUACGGGAUAACCGUGGGGAGAUGUGGGGUUACUGGCUCCACGGCUGGGGUUCGACCCCAGCGGGCCGACCCACUGUAGCCGAAGUGACCUGGAAAGGUCCGCCGUAGAGGGUGAUAGCCCCGUAGGCUAAACAGUGGGGGCCCGUGCCGUGGAGCAGAGUACCACGGCUUGGUUUUGCCGUGGGAAGUCGGGGGUCACCGACCUCCAAGGCUAAAUACGUCCCGAGACCGAUAGCGAACUAAGUACCGUGAGGGAAAGCUGAAAAGCACCCCGCAAGGGGGGUGAAAAGAGCCUGAAACCGGGCGGCUACAUACGGCACGGCCCUGAAGGAGUGAAGCCCGCUGAAGGAAACCGGGGCGACCCGGGAGUACAAGGCGGGUGGACCAGGGUCGUGCCGUCCGUCUUGAAACACGGGCCGGGGAGUCCACGGCAGUGGCGAGCCUAAGGGGGUCAAAGCCCCGUAGGCGUAGGGAAACCGACAAGCCCGCAGCCGCCUCAAGGCGGCGAGGGGCGGGGUCCCAAAGGGCCCGGAGUCACUGCCGUGGGACCAGAAACCGGGCGAUCUAGGCGGGGGCAGGGUGAAGCCGGGGGAAACCCCGGUGGAGGCCCGAAAGGGUUCUGACGUGCAAUUCGUUCCCAUGACCCCCGUCUAGGGGCAAAAGACCAAUCUAGCCCGGUGAUAGCUGGUUCCCGCCGAAGUGGGUCUCAGCCCAGCCCCGCCGGAGGUGGGUCACGGGGUAGAGCUACGGAUCGGGGAUGCGGAGGCCGAAAGGCCUCGGUCCCCGGUCCAACUCCGAACCUGUGGCCACCGUAGAUGGCGGGAGUGGGGUUCCCCGGCGUAAGGCUGGGGGCCGCGAGGGGAACAACCCAGACCGGGGUUAAGGCCCCAAAGUGCCGGCUAAGUGCCAAUGCAAAAGGGCGUCCUACGGCUUAGACAGCGGGGAGGUGGGCCUAACAGCAGCCAUCCUUUAAAGAGUGCGUAACAGCUCACCCGCAGAGCCGUAGGGCCCCGAAGAUUAGUCGGGGCUCAAGCCGGCCGCCGAGACCCCGGGGCACGGCUCCGCUGGAGCCGUGAUCCGGUAGGCGGGCGCCGGGUCGGGGCAGAAGUCGGGCCGUGAGGUCCGAUGGACCCGAUCCGGGUGAAGAUCCCGGCGGCAGUAACAGCGAAGAGGGGUGGGAAUCCCCUCCGCCGGAAAGGGCAAGGGUUCCUCGGCAACGGUCGUCGGCCGAGGGUUAGCCGGUCCUAACCCGGGCCGUAACACGGACCCGGGGAAUGGGAAACGGGUUAAUAUUCCCGUGCCGCAGGGGUAGGUGCGGCAACGCAAGCCCUGCCUCCGACGCCUCUGGAUAGGCGGACUGGAGGCACCCGUAUGGGUGCGAUCCAGCUAACCGGUGAAGGCCCUGGAGUACCGUAAUGGUGAGAAGGGGCCGAAGCCGGGAAUAGGGCUCCGUUAGGAGCCUUCCGCCGAUUCCAGGGGCCCUUGAAAAGGGGGCAGGGAACGAUCCCCUGCGACCGUACCGAGAACCGACACAGGUGCCCCUGGGUUAGAAGCCCAAGGCGUGUGGGGGCUAACCCAGGCCAGGGAACUCGGCAAAUUGGCCCCGUAACUUCGGGAGAAGGGGUGCCUGCGGUCUUGGGGCACACCCCUGGGACCGCAGGCCGCAGUGCCUAGGGGGGCCUGACUGUUUAAUAAAAACAUAGGUCCCCGCAAGCCCGAAAGGGUUUGUACGGGGGCUGAAUCCUGGCCACUGGCGGUCCGUGAAACCGGGGUCCAACCCGGCGAAGCGCCGCUGAAGGCCGGGAGUAACUCUGACUCUCUUAAGGUAGCCAAAUGCCUUGCCGGGUAAGUUCCGGCGCGCAUGAAUGGAUCAACGAGGUCCCCACUGUCCUGGCCUGGGGCCCCGUGAAUACACGGAGCCGGUGCAUAGGCCGGCAACCCCCCGCAGGGCGAUAAGUCCCCGUGGAGCUUUACCGCAGCCUGGCGCUGGCACCCGGGUUGCGGUGCGUAGCGUAGGUGGGAGCCUGUGAAGCCAUGCUUCCGGGCAUGGUGGAGGCGUCAAUGAAACACCACCCAUCGCAACCCGGGUGCCUUACUCCCGGGUUGCCGGGAGGACAACGCCAGGUGGGCGGUUCGGCUGGGGCGGCACGCCCGCGAAAAGAUAACACGGGCGCCCAAAGGUCGGCUCAGGCGGGUUAGAGCUCCGCCGUAGAGUGCAAGGGCAAAAGCCGGCCUGACCGGACCCUUGAACACAAGGGGUCCGGCCGGGAAACCGUGGCCUAGCGAACGCUCGUGCCCCCCUCGGUGGGGGCCGGGCAUGACAGAAAAGUUACCCCGGGGAUAACAGAGUCGUCGCGGGCGAGAGCUCCCAUCGACCCCGCGGUUUGCUACAUCGAUGUCGGCUCUUCCCAUCCUGGGGGUGCAGCAGCCUCCAAGGGUGGGGCUGCCCGCCCAUUAAAGGGGAACGUGAGCUGGGUUUAGACCGUCGUGAGACAGGUCGGACUCUACCCGCGGGGGGUGCGGGCCGCCUGAGGGGAAGCUACCCUCAGUACGAGAGGAACGGGGUGGCGCGGCCUCUGGUUUACCGGUUGUCCUGGCGGGCAACGCCGGGCAGCCACGCCGCAAGGGGUAACCGCUGAAAGCAUCUAAGCGGGAACCCCUCCCCGAAAAGAGGCGGCCUGUCGUCACGGGGUAACCCGUGGCGGCGCGGGCUCCCGUAGAAGACGGGGUUGAUGGGGCGGGGGUGUAAGCCCCAAGGGGUUUCCCGAGGGGUUCAGCCCGCCGCUCCCAAGAGCCCGAACGCCGUGGCUU